rnacentral:rRNA from 1 species
AUUGAACGCUGGCGGCAGGCCUAACACAUGCAAGUCGAACGGUAACAGGAAGCAGCUUGCUGCUUCGCUGACGAGUGGCGGACGGGUGAGUAAUGUCUGGGAAACUGCCUGAUGGAGGGGGAUAACUACUGGAAACGGUAGCUAAUACCGCAUAACGUCGCAAGACCAAAGAGGGGGACCUUAGGGCCUCUUGCCAUCGGAUGUGCCCAGAUGGGAUUAGCUAGUAGGUGGGGUAACGGCUCACCUAGGCGACGAUCCCUAGCUGGUCUGAGAGGAUGACCAGCCACACUGGAACUGAGACACGGUCCAGACUCCUACGGGAGGCAGCCGUGGGGAAUAUUGCACAAUGGGCGCAAGCCUGAUGCAGCCAUGCCGCGUGUAUGAAGAAGGCCUUCGGGUUGUAAAGUACUUUCAGCGGGGAGGAAGGGAGUAAAGUUAAUACCUUUGCUCAUUGACGUUACCCGCAGAAGAAGCACCGGCUAACUCCGUG